rnacentral:rRNA from 1 species
CCUACGGGUGGCAGCAGUGGGGAAUAUUGCACAAUGGGCGCAAGCCUGAUGCAGCCAUGCCGCGUGUAUGAGGAAGGCCCUAGGGUUGUAAAGUACUUUCAGUCGGGAGGAAGGCGUUGAUGCUAAUAUCAUCAACGAUUGACGUUACCGACAGAAGAAGCACCGGCUAACUCCGUGCCAGCAGCCGCGGUAAUACGGAGGGUGCAAGCGUUAAUCGGAAUUACUGGGCGUAAUGCGCACGCAGGCGGUUGAUUAAGUUAGAUGCGAAAUCCCCGGGCUUAACCUGGGAAUGGCAUCUAAGACUGGUCAGCUAGAGUCUUGUAGAGGGGGGUAGAAUUCCAUGUGUAGCGGUGAAAUGCGUAGAGAUGUGGAGGAAUACCGGUGGCGAAGGCGGCCCCCUGGACAAGGACUGACGCUCAGGUGCGAAAGCGUGGGGAGCAAACAGGAUUAGAUACCCCAGUAGUC